CGGGAGACCAGGGUCCAGCAGCGGGUGGUAUGCGUGGGGUGGGAGCGUUAAUCGGGAGUGCGGUGCGUAAAGCGGGCGCAGGGGGUGAUGUAAGACCGUUGUGAAAUCCCCGGGCGUAACCUGGGAACUGCAUCGGGGACUGCAUUGCUGGAGGGCGGCAGAGGGGGAUGGAAUUCCGCGUGUAGCAGUGAAAUGCGUAGAUAUGCGGAGGAACACCGAUGGCGAAGGCAAUCCCCUGGGCCUGCACUGACGCUCAUGCACGAAAGCGUGGGGAGCAAACAGGAUUAGAUACCCUUAGUC
rnacentral:rRNA from 1 species